rnacentral:tRNA from 1 species
GGGCUGGUAGCUGAGACGGUCUGGCGGCGGUUUGAAGCACCGCAGACGAGGAUUCGAGCGCCUCCCGGCCCAC